UACGAAGGGGGCUAGCGUUGUUCGGAAUUACUGGGCGUAAAGGGCGUGUAGGCGGCCAACUAAGUCCGACGUGAAAUCCCCAGGCUUAACCUGGGAACUGCGUCGGAUACUGGAUGGCUUGAAUCCGGGAGAGGGAUGCGGAAUUCCAGGUGUAGCGGUGAAAUGCGUAGAUAUCUGGAGGAACACCGGUGGCGAAGGCGGCAUCCUGGACCGGCAUUGACGCUAAAGCGCGAAAGCCAGGGGAGCAAACGGG
rnacentral:rRNA from 1 species